rnacentral:rRNA from 1 species
AUUGAACGCUGGCGGCAGGCUUAACACAUGCAAGUAGAGCGAGCGGCGGACGGGUGAGUAAUGUCUGGGAAACUGCCUGAUGGAGGGGGAUAACUAAUGGAAACGGUAGAUAAUACCGCAUACCAUCAGAUGUGCCCAGAUGGGAUUAGCUAGUAGGUGGGGUAAUGGCUUACCUAGGCGACGUGCCCUAGCUGGUCUGAGAGGAUGACCAGCCAAACGUGACCUGAGACCCGGUCCAGACGCCUACGGGAGGCAGCAGUGGGGAAUAUUGCACAAUGGGCGCAAGCCUGAUGCAGCCAUGCCGCGUGUGUGAAGAAGGCCUUCGGGUUGUAAAGCACUUUCAGCGAGGAGGCGUUACUCGCAGAAGAAGCACCGGCUAACUCCGUGCCAGCAGCCGCGGUAAUUC